rnacentral:rRNA from 1 species
CCUACGGGGUGCAGCAGUGAGGAAUAUUGGUCAAUGGCCGCAGGGCUGAACCAGCCAAGUCGCGGGAGGGAUGACGGUCCUAUGGAUUGUAAACCUCUUUUGUCAGGGAGCAAAGGGCGCCACGUGUGGCGCUUUGCGAGUACCUGAAGAAAAAGCAUCGGCUAACUCCGUGCCAGCAGCCGCGGUAAUACGGAGGAUGCGAGCGUUAUCCGGAUUUAUUGGGGUUAAAGGGUGCGCAGGCGGAAUGUCAAGUCAGCGGUAAAAUUUCGGGGCUCAACCCCGUCGUGCCGUUGAAACUGGCGUUCUUGAGUGAGCGAGAAGUAUGCGGAAUGCGUGGUGUAGCGGUGAAAUGCAUAGAUAUCACGCAGAACUCCGAUUGCGAAGGCAGCAUACCGGCGCUCAACUGACGCUCAUGCACGAAAGCGUGGGUAUCGAACAGGAUUAGAUACCCUUGUAGUC